rnacentral:snRNA from 1 species
CACCCCAGGUGGCAGGGGAGACACAUAAUCAUGGAAGUGGUCUUCCCAGGUCGAGGCUUAUCCUCCGCACUCCGGAUGUGCCAACCCUGCGAUUUUCCCAAAAGUGGGAAACGGCCGCAUCAUCUGUGGUCAUGGGGGCUGCAUUCAUACUUUCUUCUG